AUGCAAUGAUGAGGACAUCUUCGCAGUAACUCUUUUGUAUCUUUCCCAUGCGUCAUAUAAAGAUUUUUCAUCUUACUGAAUAAAUGAUAUAAUUCCUUGUCUCAAUUU